GUGAAAGAUUUGUACAGAUACUUAUUAUAAUAAUUAAAAUGUCCAAGUCACCGUCAUAUUCAAUCAAGGUUAUACCCUGGUGGAAACCGAGCCGCAAGACAAGGAUCGGAAAUUUUAUUUUUCAAAUUGUGUCCUUUUUUUAUCCGCCUUCUAAAAUACGCGGUGCUCGAGUCGUGUAUGAAGCAGACGACCCGGAGCCAGACCCAUUAAAUUUGUUACUAACACUAGGCUCCUUUUUGAUCCCCAUUUUCUGCAUUGUGAUUUACCGGAUCUACAAAAGGCACUAUCGAAGGAUAAUAGAAUGGACAGUGAAGCACAACAAAUUCCAAAAUUAAAUGGAAACAGAUCUGAAGAAAGUUAAGAGAGCAAGAGGAAUGAUUCCUUUGAUUUUAAAAUUAUCUUUUGAGCAUUUGUAAACCAUUUCAUUUAAGCUCUCCCCCAUUUCCAUCUCGGGCAUUUGCGCAAUAAAAUGAAUUGAGCUUCAGUUUUAUGAACGACAAUCA